rnacentral:rRNA from 1 species
GACGAACGCUGGCGGCGUGCUUAACACAUGCAAGUCGAACGGAAAGGCCCUGCUUUUGUGGGGUGCUCGAGUGGCGAACGGGUGAGUAACACGUGAGUAACCUGCCCUUGACUUUGGGAUAACUUCAGGAAACUGUGGCUAAUACCGGAUAGGAGCUCCUGCUGCAUGGUGGGGGUUGGAAAGUUUCGGCGGUUGGGGAUGGACUCGCGGCUUAUCAGCUUGUUGGUGAGGUAGUGGUUUACCAAGGCUUUGACGGGUAGCCGGCCUGAGAGGGUGACCGGCCACAGUGGGACUGAGAUACGGCCCAGACUCCUACGGGAGGCAGCAGUGGGGAAUAUUGCACAAUGGGCGGAAGCCGGAUGCAGCAACGCCGCGUGCGGGAUGACGGCCGUCGGGUUGUAAACCGCGUGCGCCUGGGACGAAGCGUGAGUGACGGUAAUGGGUAAAGAAGCACCGGCUAACUACGUG